GUUUUAAUAAUUUAAUGUAAAAUAUUGGUCUUGUAAACCAAAAAUGAAAUUUUUCUUAAAACU
rnacentral:tRNA from 1 species